CUUGACGGCUUUGUUCGUCCAUUGCUUGGCCUCUGCAUCAACGAGCACUGCCUGGAUUGUACUCAAAGUACUCUCCAGAUGUUUCAGCUCAGUUUUGAGGCCCCAAGCGAUUCCGAACUGCUGUAGGACUGAGGAGAUCAAGUUUGUGAAGAUCGUCUCUAUGAGAGAAGAGAGGAGUACAUCUGCCAUGACUCUGUUUUUUUUGUUCUUUUUUCCUGGGAAUUGGUUUUUGUUAUAGCAUUGAAGAUGAAAGAAAGGAAAAUUGGGAGCGAGAAAAGUGGGAGGUAGUAGGUACAGGGUUUGGGUGGGUAUGGUGGUUGGUUUCAUGUCAGCACUUGGGGGCUCCACACGUUGUUGUACUCUCUCUCUCUCUCUCUCUCUGGUUUCAUUUGUGCACCAAAAAUGCUACAAACACAACGUACGGACACACAACUCUUCACACAACCGCUGACGUCAUCUAAAAAACGACGUCGUUUUUCUAAAAAAAAGAAGAAGUCGGGAACAGAACAACGUUUUCUCCUUUCCCUUCCCCUUCCCCUUCCCCUUCCGUUCCCAGUUUGACGACGACGAUUAACAGAGAAAAUCCCGUUCCCAGUCCCCUCCACCACCGGCGACCACCACAACCCAACCCCAGCGCUCUCCCACCGCCAUUGACCGUCAUCAUCAUCGGGCUUCUGGGCACUUCGACCGUCACGAAGGAGGUGCUUGGAGCUGGUGUUGAGUUGGGGACCUAUUUAAUCGUUGUUUGUUGUCUUAGUCAUUGAAGGAUUUAACAAACUUCAUUAGUAAUAGCUAACAGUGUUUCCCAUGACAUUUAAUGUAUACACAUAACACAACAUAUGCAGAACCAAAAGUAUCCCCUAUUGCCCUCCAACUCCAAGUUUUUUGGCAGGAGCGGUUGUUAUGUUUAGAGGGCACCGAGGCAGUACAAGUGCAGUGAAGUUUCAGUCCCUGUUCCAACUACUGAGUUUUGGGGUGGUUUCGGGCUCAAAGAGAGUGAUGCUCUGCCCAUUUAGUUUGCUUCCAAUUAGACUUUCAAAGCCAGUCUUUCUCGUGCGGUGUUGGGGACUCGAAAAGGCAGUGAAAGAGAUUGGAGCUAUUCAGAUGAAUCAAAGGCCAAGAAAAAUGAGCAAUUUGUUGUAAUUUGGAAUAUCAAGUUGUAAUUUGUUGGAAUUAGUUGUAGUAUCAAGUUUUAGUUUUGAGAAACCUAACUUUGUAUGUAAUUGAUAAUUGUGAUGAGAAUGGCCCGGCGUGGGUUUUAAAUUUAUUGGAUUGUGAAUGUUUAUAUA